rnacentral:rRNA from 1 species
AUUGAACGCUGGCGGCAUGCUUUACACAUGCAAGUCGAACGGUAACAGGGUGCUUGCACCGCUGACGAGUGGCGAACGGGUGAGUAAUGCGUCGGAACGUGCCGAGUAAUGGGGGAUAACGCAUCGAAAGGUGUGCUAAUACCGCAUACGCUCUGAGGAGGAAAGCUGGGGAUCGAAAGACCUGGCGUUAUUCGAGCGGCCGACGUCUGAUUAGCUAGUUGGUGAGGUAAAGGCUCACCAAGGCGACGAUCAGUAGCGGGUCUGAGAGGAUGAUCCGCCACACUGGGACUGAGACACGGCCCAGACUCCUACGGGAGGCAGCAGUGGGGAAUUUUGGACAAUGGGGGCAACCCUGAUCCAGCCAUGCCGCGUGUCUGAAGAAGGCCUUCGGGUUGUAAAGGACUUUUGUUAGGGAGCAAGUCCUGCAGGUUAAGAGCUAGU